UUAGAAUUAAUUUCAUAAAGUUGUUUGAGCCCUUUUCAUGUUCUGGUUAUUAAACCCUUUUCAGAUGGGUCAUUUGCAAAUAUUUUCUCCCAUUCUGCUGGUUGACUCUUCACUUUGUUGAUUGUAUU